GCACUCAAACACAAUUACGCUGUUAUCCCUAAGGUAACUUAAUCUUAUGAUCAUAAAUUAUGGAUCAAAACAACAAACAUAAAUAAAUGAUAUAAUAAUGAAGAAUAAAUAAACUCUUCAUUAUUAUAUCAUUUAUUUAUGUUUGUUGUUUUGAUCCAUAAUUUAUGAUCAUAAGAUUAAGUUACCUUAGGGAUAACAGCGUAAUUGUUUUUGAGAGCUCAUAUCGACAAAGCAGAUUGCGACCUCGAUGUUGGAUUAAGAAAAUUUUUGGGUGCAGUAGCCCAUUAAUUAGGUCUGUUCGACCUUUAAAUUCUUACAUGAUGUGAGUUCAGACCAGCGUGAGCAAGGUCGGUUUCUAUCCUAAGAUUAUUAAUUCAUAUUAGUACGAAAGGACCAUAUGAUUGAAAUAUUUUUUAAUUUAUUGAUUAAUAUUAAUUAGAUUA